rnacentral:rRNA from 1 species
GGACGGGGUGAGUAACGCGUGAGAAAUCUGCUCUUUAGGACGGGGGACAACAGCUGGAAAACGGGCUGCUAAAUACCCGAAUGUGCCGAGAGGUGAAAACAUUUUAUGGCUUGAGGAUGAGCUCGCGUCUGAUUAGCUAGUUGGUGGGGGUAAGGGCCUACCAAGGCGACGAUCAGUAGCUGGUCUGAGAGGAUGAUCAGCCACACUGGGGACUGAGACACGGGCCCAGACUCCUACGGGAGGCAGCAGUGGGGAAUUUUCCGCAAUGGGCGCAAGCCUGACGGAGCAAGACCGCGUGCGGGAGGACGGCCUAUUGGUUGUAAACCGCUUUUGAUAGGGAAGAAGUUCUGACGGUACCUAUCGAAUCAGCAUCGGCUAACUCCGUGCCAGCAGCCGCGGUAAUACGGAGGAUGCAAGCGUUAUCCGGAAUUAUUGGGCGUAAAGCGUCCGUAGGUGGUUGUUCAAGUCUGCUGUUAAAGCGUGCGGCUUAACCGCAUACCAGCAGUGGAAACUGGGCGACUAGAGUGCGGUAGGGGUCAGGGGAAUUCCCAGUGUAGCGGUGAAAUGCGUAGAUAUUGGGAAGAACACCGGUGGCGAAAGCGCCUGACUGGACCUGCACUGACACUGAGGGACGAAAGCUAGGGGAGCGAAAGGGAUUAGAUACCCCUGUAGUC